CGGCACCUCGGCACGGUCUCUCCCGUGCUUUGCUCGGCUCGUGGCUCGGUGGAGCUCUCCUUCUCCAAGGGUAAUUUCGCCCCCCCGCACUCCUUGCUAGUGCGUACGGCAGCGCGAGGCCAUCCCGGCUGCCGUCCUCCUCAGGGCCAUCUGAAAUGUCCGGUCAUUCGUACAACGUGCAAACCUGCGAGCUAUCAUACCACAUCGUACCGCCAAGCCCCUGCGCUCUCUCUCCAUGUCAGCAUCGUCAGAUAAAUCCUCGGUGACUAUGUGACCCAGAUGACGUAACAAAUGGAUAGAGUUAUUUCUCAUUCUCAAUGUCCAUUAGGGAAAAGAAGCCUCGGCAGACCAACAAAACGGUGGGCUUAUGAUAUUGUUAAGGAAGCAGGGCAAGAUUGGAUGUUUCUCGACAGUGAUACAGGAUUCUGGAAAAAGAAAGAGGUGGCCUUCACCCAAUCGGGAUCCACAUUAUAUGAAUAUAACUAACCACACUAACAUUAGAUUAAUAAGUUAAAAUAUAUAUAAUAAUUAAAUAUAAAAUAAUAUUCUAACACGACUAAGAAACAUUUGAAUUGUAAACAUUUUGAUGUGGAA